rnacentral:rRNA from 1 species
GAUGAACGCUGGCGGCGUGCCUAAUACAUGCAAGUCGAGCGAACAGACGAGGAGCUUGCUCCUCUGACGUUAGCGGCGGACGGGUGAGUAACACGUGGAUAACCUACCUAUAAGACUGGGAUAACUUCGGGAAACCGGAGCUAAUACCGGAUAAUAUAUUGAACCGCAUGGUUCAAUAGUGAAAGACGGUUUUGCUGUCACUUAUAGAUGGAUCCGCGCCGCAUUAGCUAGUUGGUAAGGUAACGGCUUACCAAGGCAACGAUGCGUAGCCGACCUGAGAGGGGGAUCGGCCACACUGGAACUGAGACACGGUCCAGACUCCUACGGGAGGCAGCAGUAGGGAAUCUUCCGCAAUGGGCGAAAGCCUGACGGAGCAACGCCGCGUGGGUGAUGAAGGUCUUCGGAUCGUAAAACUCUGUUAUUAGGGAAGAACAAAUGUGUAAGUAACUAUGCACGUCUUGACGGUACCUAAUCAGAAAGCCACGGCUAACUACGUG